rnacentral:tRNA from 1 species
GCCUUUGUCUUGUACUGGUCAGCAUCCUCGACUUGUAUUCAAAAGGUCCGUGGUUCGAAUCCCGGCGAAGGCG